UUGUAUGUUAAUUGCAUAUUGUAUAUGUAGAAUAUAGUGUUCAUGUAGCCUCAUUAUUUAAUGUUCCAUGUUUUUUUAUAAUCCUAUUGCUCAUUUAACAUUAGUAUAUGAAUUUUAAUAACAGUAGAGUUGCAUAAUCUCCAUAAGCAAUAUAUGUAAGGAUAUAAUAUAGUAAUUUUUUCAUACAUACACAAAUUAUAAUCUUUGUAUUCAUAUUAUUUCUCUACAUAUAUAAAUCUAAGUAUUUUUUUUUUUUUUUUCUCUUUUUUUUAUUCAUCUUUUAUUUUAUUAAUUUAGUGUUCUAUUCAUGUUUAUUUUCAUUGUUAUUUUUGUUUUAUUUCUUAGGACACAUACAUAUUGAAAGGAAAUUUUUUCAUCAUUUCUUUUGAGAUAUAUAUAAUUUCGUCCACAUGUAUAUUUGUUAAUAGAAAACUUUUUUUUUUUUUUUUUUUAUACUAAUAUUUUUUUUAUACUCCCUAUAUAUGUGAAAUUUCCAUACAUAAGAUUUUUUAUUCAUAUAAUAUGCAUGUGUAAUUGAAUAGGCAAGAUUUUACAUCUUCUUAUUUAAUAUUGACAUAAUUAUAUUAUGAUAUGUUUUAUUUCUUAUUCUUUUUUAACUUUUUAAUUUUUAUCUGUUUUUUCUUCUUUUUUUUUUUAUAUUUAUGUUAUAUUCAAGAAUACAUUAGUUUAUAGAUUUUAAUUCAUCUCUUAUUUCUUUUAUAUAUCAUCUGAGUUUUUAUAAUAUAUAUAUAAUAUGCACAUUUAUUUUUACAUAUAUAUUUAUAUGCAUAUAAUAUAUAUUCAGAGUAAUAGAAAAAACAUAUAUAAUUUAGUGUAUAUGAAUUUUGAAAUAUUAGAAGAGUAUACAUGAUAUUGUUAAGCAUUUAUUUAUUUUUAUUUAUUUAUUUCUACAUGUAUUUUUGUUGCACUUCAUAUAUCUAUAUUUCGGUCUUGUUUUGAUUUUAUAUAUUUACAUUAAACGUAAGAGUGCAUUUUUGUGAGACACAAUUUGCUAUAGUUUUAUUUAAAUUAUUUUUAUAUUAAAUUAUAUUUUAUAAAGAGUAUAUAUAUUUACAACGUUGUAUAAGAAUCGAGAACUAAUUAUAUACAAAGCAAAAGAAAAGGAAAAUAGCA